AUUAGAAGUAUCGUCUGCUUUCGUUGAGAUUAAAAUUUCGAAAAAUUUCGAGACAAAGUUCAAGAUUUAUGUUGUGUUUCGUCAUACUCCAUGUUGUUUAGCGGAUUUGAGGCCAGAGACAGCCAUCAUAACCUCACAAUAUACAAGUUUUUCUUGUGCAGUUGUUAAACUGUCACCAGCGACAAUCUCUGGAUCAUCACUUGGAUAAACAGCAUCCCAUUGCAUUGAAAAAACUACCGAUAUAAUUCGAGUGAAGGAUCUCUCCGACCCCUCUGACUCCCUUUCUUUAAAUGUUCUCGUGUACGCCCAUGUGAAUGUGGGUGUAUUCACGAGGACAUCUUUUUUUACCCUAUAUCCCGUCCAGUGUAAUUCAACUCUUCAGCGGAUGGAUGGAGCAACUG